CAGGGGCGUCGCCAAGCGGUAAGGCAGCAGGUUUUGAUCCUGCCAUGCGUUGGUUCGAAUCCAGCCGCCCCUGCCAU
rnacentral:tRNA from 4 species